CAAGUAGAAUAAAUGAUCGCGGCUGUACAGACGCAAGGGUACAGGUGAGGAAAGUCCGGGCUUCACAGGGCAGGAUGCCGGAUAACGUCCGGUGGAGGUGACUCCAAGGCUAGUGCAACAGAAAACAGACAGCUAUGCGUAGUUUUGCGGAACAAUGUGAAAGCAUUGUGACGCAAUACUACAUUGCAUAGUGAUGGUGGAAUGGCAGUGUAAGAGACUACCGCUGCAACGGUAACGGUGCAGGCUGUGUAAACCCCAUCCGAAGCAAGACCGAAACGAAAGCGACAGAUUGGCCCGAUCUGCUUUCAGGUGGGUCGCUCGAGAUAUCCGGUAACGGAUAUCCUAGAUAGAUGAUCAUUCGCGACAUAACCCGGCUUAUCGUUCUGCUUGGUUU
rnacentral:RNase_P_RNA from 1 species